rnacentral:lncRNA from 10 species
CCUAUCCGCGCCCCUAUCCGGCGCGGGCCGCUGCGGAAACGCAGCUCUCCACCCCCAGCUGGCUCUCCCGGACCCCCUGGGCCCCACCCUCAGCGCUCCCCACCGCUCGGCGCCCCUGCGUCUGCGCUCCCCUCUCUCCCCUCUCUAUCCACUGGGUCUGGGCCGCACUUCCCGCCCACCCGCCUGCCAGCGGCCGGGAAGCCUGUGGAAGUUAUGGGGAUGCAGGGAGAGGGGGAGAGGGGAGCUUGUGUGCUAGGGUCUGCAAAGCUCGUCUGCAUCAGACAGGAAUUUUCCCCAGACGCGGGUGCACGUGAAUUAAUUCAUCAGAAGGCGGUUCACGGCCUGAGUGAGGGGGACGAGGGCGGCGAAUUCCUCCGCCUCAUUCCUACCCUGACGAUUCGAGAUGCUCGCUUCACCCCACUGAGAUGUAACUCAGUUUUGUGGGAUCCCACUGCCCUCCAGGUGCCGCUCCGAGUGCUCUACACAGAUUUUCAUUCAGUCCUUGCGGCACACGAAGAGUGGCUGUACCAUUUUGCAUUCCCAGACCGAAGUGUGAAAGCUCCAGAUGCCCCACGCCCUCACCAGCCCACGGUGUUGUCAGCCUUAAUAGUGCUGACCAUUCUGCCUGUUAAUAUGAUGAAUUACACUGAUUCAGUUUCAAAUGUCCAACCAAGCUUGCACUCCAGAGAUGAAGCCCACUUGAUCACAUGGAUUAUUCUUUUAAUAUAUGAUGGAUACGACUUGGCUGUUCUUUUGUUGAGGAUUUUUGUGUUUAUGUUAAUGAGGAUAUUAUUUGUAGUUUUCUUUUCUUGUAAUGUUUUUGUCUUUGUUCAGUGUCAGAGUAAUGCCAACUUCAUAAAGUGAGCUGGGAAGUA